GACGAACGCUGGCGGCGUGCCUAAUACAUGCAAGUAGAACGCUGAAGGAGGAGCUUGCUUCUCCGGAUGAGUUGCGAACGGGUGAGUAACGCGUAGGUAACCUGCCUGGUAGCGGGGGAUAACUAUUGGAAACGAUAGCUAAUACCGCAUAAGAGUAGAUGUCGCAUGACAUUUGCUUAAAAGGUGCAACUGCACCACUACCAGAUGGACCUGCGUUGUAUUAGCUAGUUGGUGAGGUAACGGCUCACCAAGGCAACGAUACAUAGCCGACCUGAGAGGGUGAUCAGCCACACUGGGACUGAGACACGGCCCAGACUCCUACGGGAGGCAGCAGUAGGGAAUCUUCGGCAAUAGACGGAAGUCUGACCGAGCAACGCCGCGUGAGUGAAGAAGGUUUUCGGAUCGUAAAGCUCUGUUGUAAGAGAAGAACGAGUGUGAGAGUGGAAAGUUCACACUGUGACGGUAUCUUACCAGAAAGGGACGGCUAACUACGUG
rnacentral:rRNA from 1 species